GCCAGGUGCAGUGGCAUGUGCCUGUAGUCCCAGCUACUCGGGAGGCUGAGGCUGGAGGAUCACUUGAGUCCAGGAGUUCUGCUGUAGUGCACUAUGCCGAUCAGGUGUCCGCACUAAGUUUGGCAUCAAUAUGGUGACCUCACAGGAGCAGGGGACCACCAGGUUGCCUAAGGAGGGGUGAACCGGCCCAGGUUGGAAACAGAGCAGGUCAAAACUCCUGUGCUGAUCAGCAGUGGGACUGUGCCUGUGAAUAGCCACUGCACUCCAGCCUAGGCAACUUAGCGAGACCCCUUCUCU
ensembl:misc_RNA Metazoa_SRP Metazoan signal recognition particle RNA